rnacentral:rRNA from 1 species
GAUGAACGCUGGCGGCGUGCCUAAUACAUGCAAGUCGAGCGGACGGACGAGAAGCUUGCGUCUCUGAUGUUAGCGGCGGACGGGUGAGUAACACGUGGAUAACCUACCUAUAAGACUGGGAUAACUUCGGGAAACCGGAGCUAAUACCGGAUGAUAUUUUGAACCGCAUGGUUCAAAAGUGAAAGACGGUCUUGCUGUCACGUAUAGAUGGAUCCGCGCUGCAUUAGCUAGUUGGUAAGGUAACGGCUUACCAAGGCAAGGAUGCAUAGCCGAACUGAGAGGGUGAUCGGCCACCCUGGAACGGAGACACGGUCCAGACUCCUACGGGACGCACCAGUAGCGAAUCUUACGCAAAGGGCGAAAGCCUGACGGAGCAACGCCGCGUCAGAGACGAAGGCCCUCGGAUCGUAAAACCGUGUUAUUAGUGAAGAACCGAUGUCUCCUGAACUGUGCACAUCUUGACGGUACCUAAUCAGAAAGCAACGGCUAACUACGUG